UACAGAGGUCUCAAGCGUUGUUCGGAUUCAUUGGGCGUAAAGGGUGCGUAGGCGGCGCGGUAAGUCGGGUGUGAAAUCUUGGAGCUUAACUCCGAAACUGCAUUCGAUACUGCCGUGCUUGAGGACUGGAGAGGAGACUGGAAUUUACGGUGUAGCGGUGAAAUGCGUAGAUAUCUGGAGGAAUACCGGUGGCGAAGGCGGCAUCCUGGACCGGCAUUGACGCUGAGGAGCGAAAGCCAGGGGAGCAAACGGG
rnacentral:rRNA from 1 species